CCUGAUUGGAUGUUGUGACCUAAUUACAAGGAAUAUAUAGUGACAUAUCAAUAGAGGGUAGUGAAACCACUUUCCUGGCAAAAAUCAAGAAUUAUAAAUGUGAAACAGGCAUAUUGUGUUAGAUGUAGUUAAGGUACUGGUUAGUUUUACUGAAUUGCUUUUUUCUUUAUUUUUUAUUCUUUGUUAUAAGAGAUGGCACAGAGGAAAUACAAGAGAAGAAUAUAUUUGCAGAUGCAGAUGAUAGAAGUACAAUCAAUAAAUAUUUAAAGAUAUCAAGGUUUACAGAUGAGGGAACCAAGGUACUCAAAGAAUCUCUCACAAAGGAGGAUUGGAUACUGAUAAUGCUGUUGGAAAUUAUUGUUCAGGUAAGAGUUUAACUAGAUGGUAUUAGGCAUUCCUUAAAACUCUGAAAUUUUAUGAUCUGGCUCUUUAAAAUACACUUGGGGAAUUUUUUUGUAGUCAUUUUGGUUUUUUGCUGGUGCCGUGGAUAAAGUCCUGGUCUAAGGACUAGAAGUCCUGAGUCCAAAUUCUGUCUGAGAUAAUUACUAGCUCUGUCACCCUAAGCAAGUCUAAUA
rnacentral:lncRNA from 1 species